AGCGCGGAGCACGAGGAAUUCUGCGUGAAUCUGCCGGGACCAUCCGGUAAGGCUAAAUACUCCCGAGAGACCGAUAGCGAACCAGUACCGUGAGGGAAAGGUGAAAAGCACUUCGAACAGAAGAGUGAAAUAGUUCCUGAAACCGUGCGCCUACAAGCGGUCGGAGCUCGUUAAUGAGUGACGGCGUGCCUUUUGCAUAAUGAACCUACGAGUUGCCUUUGCCGGCAAGGUUAAGUGUGACGACACACGUAUCCGAAGCGAAAGCGAGUCUGAACAGGGCGUAUAGUCGGCAGUGGCAGACGCGAAACCAAGUGAUCUACCCUUGGCCAGGUUGAAGGCUGGGUAACACCAGCUGGAGGACCGCACCAAUAAGCGUUGAAAAGCUUCUGGAUGAGCUGAGGGUAGGGGUGAAAGGCUAAUCAAACUUGGAGAUAGCUCGUACUCCCCGAAAUGCAUUUAGGUGCAGCCUUGCGGGUUACUGAUGUGAGGUAGAGCGACUGAUUGGAUGCGAGGGCUUCACCGCCUAUCAAGUCCUGACAAACUCCGAAUGCGCAUCAGUUCUACCGCAGGAGUGAGGGCAUGGGUGCUAAGGUCCGUGCCCGAGAGGAGAAGAAUCCGGACCACCGGCUAAGGUCCCGAAAUGACAGCUAAGUUAAACUAACGAAGUCUGAUUGCUAAGACAGCUAGGAUGUUGGCUUGGAAGCAGCCAUUCAUUUAAAGAGUGCGUAACAGCUCACUAGUCGAGGAGUCGGGCGUGGAUAAUAAUCGGGUAUCAAGUUGUCUACCGAAGCAGUGGGAUCAUUUAUAUGAUCGGUAGGGGAGCAUUCCAGUCAGCGUCGAAGGCGUACCGUGAGGUAUUCUGGAGCGUCUGGAAAAGCAAAUGUAGGUAUAAGUAACGAUAAAGGGGGCGGGAAACCCCCUCGCCGAAAGACUAAGGUUUCCUGAUCAACGCUAAUCGGAUCAGGGUCAGUCGGGUCCUAAGGCUCAGCCGAACGGCGAUGCCGAUGGCAGAAACGGUUAAUAUUCCGUUACUACCUUCAGGAGUGACGUGGAGACGCAGUAGUGACAGUGCCGCCAUCUGACGGAAUAGAUGGUUGAAGGGUGUAGGAGUCGAUCAUGGCAGGCAAAUCCACCAUGAGAUCCGAACCUGACAGUAUGCCGCGUCCUUCGGGACAAGGCAAUAGUGCGCGUAAGCAUGCUGCCGAGAAAAUCCGCUAAACUUAAUCCUGUAGGUACCCGUACCGCAAACGGACACACGUAGUCGGGAUGAAUAUUCUAAGGCGCUUGAGUGAUUCACGGUUAAGGAACUAGGCAAACUGACCCUGUAACUUCGGGAUAAAGGGUCCCUACCCUUUUAUGGGAGGGCGCAGAGAAUCGGUCCAGGCAACUGUUUAACAAAAACACAGGGCUGUGCCAAAUCGAAAGAUCCAGUAUACAGCCUGACACCUGCCCGGUGCUGGAAGGUUAAGAGGAGAUGUCAUCGAUAAGAGAAGCGUUGAAUUGAAGCCCCAGUAAACGGCGGCCGUAACUAUAACGGUCCUAAGGUAGCGAAAUUCCUUGUCGGGUAAGUUC
rnacentral:rRNA from 1 species